AGAGUUUGAUCCUGGCUCAGGACGAACGCUGGCGGCGUGCCUAAUACAUGCAAGUCGAGCGGACAGGUGGGAGCUUGCUCCCUGAUGUUAGCGGCGGACGGGUGAGUAACACGUGGGUAACCUGCCUGUAAGACUGGGAUAACUCCGGGAAACCGGGGCUAAUACCGGAUGGUUGUUUGAACCGCAUGGUUCAAACAUAAAAGGUGGCUUCGGCUACCACUUACAGAUGGACCCGCGGCGCAUUAGCUAGUUGGUGAGGUAACGGCUCACCAAGGCAACGAUGCGUAGCCGACCUGAGAGGGUGAUCGGCCACACUGGGACUGAGACACGGCCCAGACUCCUACGGGAGGCAGCAGUAGGGAAUCUUCCGCAAUGGACGAAAGUCUGACGGAGCAACGCCGCGUGAGUGAUGAAGGUUUUCGGAUCGUAAAGCUCUGUUGUUAGGGAAGAACAAGUACCGUUCGAACAGGGCGGUACCUUGACGGUACCUAACCAGAAAGCCACGGCUAACUACGUGCCAGCAGCCGCGGUAAUACGUAGGUGGCAAGCGUUUUCCGGAAUUAUUGGGCGUAAAGGGCUCGCAGGCGGUUUCUUAAGUCUGAUGUGAAAGCCCCCGGCUCAACCGGGGAGGGUCAUUGGAAACUGGGGAACUUGAGUGCAGAAGAGGAGAGUGGAAUUCCACGUGUAGCGGUGAAAUGCGUAGAGAUGUGGAGGAACACCAGUGGCGAAGGCGACUCUCUGGUCUGUAACUGACGCUGAGGAGCGAAAGCGUGGGGAGCGAACAGGAUUAGAUACCCUGGUAGUCCACGCCGUAAACGUUGAGUGCUAAGUGUUAGGGGGUUUCCGCCCCUUAGUGCUGCAGCUAACGCAUUAAGCACUCCGCCUGGGGAGUACGGUCGCAAGACUGAAACUCAAAGGAAUUGACGGGGGCCCGCACAAGCGGUGGAGCAUGUGGUUCAAUUCGAAGCAACGCGAAGAACCUUACCAGGUCUUGACAUCCUCUGACAAUCCUAGAGAUAGGACGUCCCCUUCGGGGGCAGAGUGACAGGUGGUGCAUGGUUGUCGUCGGCUCGUGUCGUGAGAUGUUGGGUUAAGUCCCGCAACGAGCGCAACCCUUGAUCUUAGUUGCCAGCAUUCAGUUGGGCACUCUAAGGUGACUGCCGGUGACAAACCGGAGGAAGGUGGGGAUGACGUCAAAUCAUCAUGCCCCUUAUGACCUGGGCUACACACGUGCUACAAUGGACAGAACAAAGGGCAGCGAAACCGCGAGGUUAAGCCAAUCCCACAAAUCUGUUCUCAGUUCGGAUCGCAGUCUGCAACUCGACUGCGUGAAGCUGGAAUCGCUAGUAAUCGCGGAUCAGCAUGCCGCGGUGAAUACGUUCCCGGGCCUUGUACACACCGCCCGUCACACCACGAGAGUUUGUAACACCCGAAGUCGGUGAGGUAACCUUUUAGGAGCCAGCCGCCGAAGGUGGGACAGAUGAUUGGGGUGAAGUCGUAACAAGGUAGCCGUAUCGGG
rnacentral:rRNA from 1 species